UGCAUACAGCAUAUUAUGUAUGUAUGUAUAACAAAGUAAAUGCAACAGAUUGUGACAAUGGAGGGCAGAUACUUGUACAUGUCAACAGAAAUAUCCCCUUUAUCUUCGGCUACAUCCUUUUUUGACUUUGCCUUUAAGUUUUUCCAGCAGGGUUUCAGUUGGGAUUUGUCCCUCGUAUCCUUAACCCCAGUUGAGCCACUGAAGCGCUCUGCUCACCUCACCCGGGUCCCCUCCUUCUUGUCCAGCGUAAUCAGGGCUGGAGUGCGACUCACUUUCCGCCCGGGAUUUCCGUGAUGCAGCCGAGCCCACCCCAAUUAGGGGGAGCGGCUGGGGGUUAUUUUUCUAUGUACGAGCCCCUGAACAAUGAAACGCUGCACUGGACAAAGCUGUCGUGCCUCCAAACCACAAAAACAAAUAAACAAACCCAUUCAAUUCCAAUAUUCUACCAGGUUUUUUUACACAAGCAAUUAGAGGAUGCAUGCUAUACACACUAAUGCACAGGCUCAAAUGGGAUAGUGAAAUCGAGCUCAACCUUCCUGCAGGAAUCUCACCUCUGAUUGGUGGUUGGGCGUCUCCUGUUUGACAAAACCAUUAAUGCAGCACGAGCGCACCUAACAUAGUUUCUGCUGUUUCGUCUGUCAAAGAGGCUAGCUAGUCUUUAUCAGAAAAUCCACGAUUUCCAGCUGUGUUAUAACAUGACCAGGUCUGAACAUUAAUGCAGUUGAUGUCGGUUGACACGGUUUGUGUUUCGCCAUUCAAACAGGAGAAUAAAGAGGACCAGCGAAGACCAAGUCCUGUGUAGCGGUGUCGUCCUUCCAGCGCUGUUGGAACCCACACAGGUCGGUUACACACAUUUUCAGGAAAAAAAAACGCUGGCAGAUUUUUAUCAGCUGGAGGCGUUUCCCGAUACGCGUCUAUACGUUCACUCUGUAUGGGAUCUUGUCGUCCCGUUGCGUUUGGUGUGAACGCACUGGAGAAGUUUCAAGACAGACAGCCAAAAUUGACAUUUUUAUUCAGAAAAUAGCCGGUCCUUUUGCUUCAUAUAAAAAGCAUGUUUGUGACACUGGAUAUCGAUAUGGAUACGUCAUCUAGCCUGCAUGUGGAGGGCCACAUAAGGUAAGAAAUUGGUUUACGUAAACUUUGCUGCUGGUUCUGUUUGCUCGUGAAUCGUGAUGACCUGGCCAAAGGUUACCAACGGUCCUAAGCGAUUGUGAUCUGAUUCUGGUUGGUGCUCCAGUUAGUAUGCAUUGUAGGGCUGGGCGAUAUGGACAAAAUCUUAUAUCACGAUAUGAGUAAUUUUAUAUCACGAUAUGGAUAUAUAUCACGAUAUGGUAUUUUUGAAGUAAAUUAAAAUAAUAAAUGGCUUAAAAUAACCAUACUUCACAUUUGAUCAGUUUUUUCUUUUAUUUUGAACUUGAAUUUCCAUGCUUACAAAGGAGUAAGUAGCGAACAAUCUGUCAUUAACUGCGCCAUGAUUCCUGCCUUCCUCACCUCAAAUUACGUGCAGGUUACGUUACCUGAAAGCACAUUGGCUGGUGAAGUUUCUUCUUCUGGGAAUAGUUAAAUGUCUUACAGCUAAGCACUCUGCUGCAGGGCCCCGUUUUGGCGCAACUGCAGUUAACUGCCGUUCCAUCCACCGCCAUAUUCUUUUUUUUUUUUUUUCUCGGUAUAAACGAUAUGGCCAAAUCUCUCCCGGUAGACACUUUCAUAUCGUCCACGGUAUGAUAUCGUCAUAUCGCCCAGCCCUAAUGCAUUGUAUAUAUAGAUUGCAGCUAGUAGCAGCUACACACGGUGCGAUUGCUAUGCCAAUGUGGUUAUAGUUGGUUUUGUCUGAUUGAGAUAUGUGACGACUUGGAGCCCGGUAGGCCUAUCCUGACAUAAAUAUGUUCUUGCAUAACCUGUGAUUAUCCUAAACUGAAGGGGAUUUUAUUUGCGGACAAUUUUCUUAUGAUGUUGCAACAAGUGAAGUUUACAUUGGUCCAUCGCAAGUGUUUACUGGUGGUCAGGAUUUGGCAGUCUGCAAUUCUCCU